CUUCCCCUUCUUGGCGGGGGGCCAGACUGUGGCCUUGUUUUCCGUAAUACAAAGAGGCAGAGGGAAAGGGCUCUGGCCCCCUCAGCAUCAUGUCUUUAGUACUGAUGGUUUCCAGUCCACCAGUUCUAUCCUCAAGCACUGGGACACCG